rnacentral:rRNA from 1 species
CCAGCAGCCGCGGUAAUUCCAGCUCCAGUAGCGUAUAUUAAAGUUGUUGCAGUUAAAAAGCUCGUAGUUGGAUUUCUGGUGUUACAGGACUGGCCUGCCGGCUCAGCCGGUGCGCGCCGGGACUCGUAUACCAUCCUUCUAGAGAUCGUUUUCAUCCCUUCACUGGGAUGAUCACGUGAUCUAGAUCUUUUACUUUGAAGAAAUUAGAGUGUUCAAAGCAGGCUCGCGCUGUGAAUACAUUAGCAUGGAAUAAUAAUUUAGGACUUGGUAUCCUAUUUUGUUGGUUUUCAGGAUCUAAGUAAUGAUUGAUAGGGAUAGUUGGGGGUGCUAGUAUUCAGCGGCCAGAGGUGAAAUUCUAUGAUUCGCUGAAGACUAACUUAUGCGAAAGCAUUCACCAAGGAUGUCUUCUUUAAUCAAGAACGAAAGU